UGAGUACGCGUAGUUCCAAGUUGUUGCUAUUCACGUACGAGCUUUAGCAUUGGAGAUGUUCAUCGAACGUUAACGAUGCCACUGUUCGUACUGCAUUUAGCCAACUGUUGGAAAUCUGCUUGGUUUUGUUUUGGCUGCGCCUUUGCAGAGGCACUGCUCCCUCUAGUAGGGUUGCAGGAACGGUUGUAUUGUUGCUUAAUGCUCAAUCUAAGUGAGCUUAUAAAACGGCGGUCAGUUAAGAUGGAGCUUGACAGACUCUUUUCUGACGAUCUAGUGAUAGUCUAUUCGGCUAUGGCAUGGUAGAGUCAUGUGUAAUGCAUGUCGCUACAAAAAUAUUAUGGUCAGUUUGGCGUUAUCGGUCGUUUGAAUGCCAAAGCAGAUAAAUUGCGGCAUCAUUCGAACCGUCUUGAAACACGGGCUAAGGAGUUCAACAAAUGCGCGAGUCCACUGGUUACGCGAAUCCAGAUGGCUUAGCUAACGCGAGUAUGUGAUUGAUAGCGAUAACUUGGUUUGCGCGCCAAGGUCAUCGCCUAUGAUGGAUGGCAUAUAGGUAAAAAAUGUUGUUCGCAACAGAGCGCAUAUGCUGAGACCCGAAAGAUGGUGAACUAUGCCUGAGUAGGAUGAAGCCGGAGGAAACUCUGGUGGAGGUCCGAAGCGUUUUGACGUGCAAUCAAUCGUCAGACUUGGGU
rnacentral:rRNA from 1 species